rnacentral:piRNA from 1 species
CAAACAAACAAAAAUAAUAAGACCAAGGGG